rnacentral:rRNA from 1 species
UACAGAGGGCGCGAGCGUUGUCCGGAAUCACUGGGCGUAAAGGGCGCGUAGGCGGCCUGAUAAGUAGGGGGUGAAAUCCUGCGGCUUAACCGCAGGGCUGCCUUCUAAACUGUCAGGCUCGAGCACAGUAGAGGCAGGUGGAAUUCCCGGUGUAGCGGUGGAAUGCGUAGAGAUCGGGAAGAACAUCAGUGGCGAAGGCGGCCUGCUGGGCUGUUGCUGACGCUGAGGCGCGACAGCGUGGGGAGCAAACAGG